rnacentral:rRNA from 1 species
AGAGUUUGAUCAUGGCUCAGGAUGAACGCUGGCGGCGUGCCUAACACAUGCAAGUCGAACGGGACUAUUUGGAGAUGAUUUCGGUCUGAUCCUUAUAGUUUAGUGGCGGACGGGUGAGUAACGCGUGGACAACCUGCCUUUCACAGGGGGAUAGCAGCUGGAAACGGCUGGUAAUACCGCAUACGCUCAUAUCACCGCAUGGUGAUAUGAGGAAAGAUUUAUCGGUGAAAGAUGGAUCCGCGUCUGAUUAGCCAGUUGGCGGGGUAACGGCCCACCAAAGCGACGAUCAGUAGCCGGCCUGAGAGGGCGGACGGCCACAUUGGGACUGAGACACGGCCCAGACUCCUACGGGAGGCAGCAGUGGGGGAUAUUGCACAAUGGGCGCAAGCCUGAUGCAGCGACGCCGCGUGAGUGAAGAAGUAUUUCGGUAUGUAAAGCUCUAUCAGCAGGGAAGAAAGGCCCGCAAGGGAGAUGACGGUACCUGACUAAGAAGCCCCGGCUAACUACGUGCCAGCAGCCGCGGUAAU